UCUGAGGUCAGAGCGUUAUGCUGCAAUAAUGAUACCAGUCUGGAUACUUAUAUUUUUGAGCUACAAGACAUGUCCUGUGCAAACUACAAACCUUGCUAAUCAAGCAAACCUGAUGCAACCUGGAGAAAAUAUCACUCUUAACUGCACAUUUAAAGAAAAAUAUGAUGACAAUACGUGCAUGUGGUACAAACAAAGACUGAACCAGGAGCCUCAGCAAGUAGGAAAAGUGCUAAAAAAUAAACAGGCCAUACCUUCAUCUCCAUUCAGCAACUCCACAUUCAGAAUGAUUUGGAAUAACACCACAAACUCUCUGACUAUUCUAAAUCUUACUGAAGAUUAUAAAGGAACGUACUUCUGUGCAGUGACAGACGAAACAAUGAUUCUCUUUUCCUCUGCUACAUUCGUCAAUGUGACAGCACAUGCAGGGUUAAACCUAACAGAGUCUACCAGUAGUGGAAAAGGGUCAGGAACCCCAA
ensembl:lncRNA